GGAUGCGAUCAUACCAGCACUAAAGCACCGGAUCCCAUCAAAACUCCGAAGUUAAGCGUGCUUGGGCGAGAGUAGUAUUAGGAUGGGUGACCUCCUGGAAAGUCCUCGUGUUGCAUUCC
rnacentral:rRNA from 1 species